rnacentral:rRNA from 1 species
AACGAACGCUGGCGGCAGGCUUAACACAUGCAAGUCGAACGCCCCGCAAGGGGAGUGGCAGACGGGUGAGUAACGCGUGGGAACAUACCCUUUCCUGCGGAAUAGCUCCGGGAAACUGGAAUUAAUACCGCAUACGCCCUACGGGGGAAAGAUUUAUCGGGGAAGGAUUGGCCCGCGUUGGAUUAGCUAGUUGGUGGGGUAAAGGCCUACCAAGGCGACGAUCCAUAGCUGGUCUGAGAGGAUGAUCAGCCACAUUGGGACUGAGACACGGCCCAAACUCCUACGGGAGGCAGCAGUGGGGAAUAUUGGACAAUGGGCGCAAGCCUGAUCCAGCCAUGCCGCGUGAGUGAUGAAGGCCUUAGGGUUGUAAAGCUCUUUCACCGGAGAAGAUAAUGACGGUAUCCGGAGAAGAAGCCCCGGCUAACUUCGUGCCAGCAGCCGCCGCCG